AGGAUGAACGCUGGCGGCGUGCUUAACACAUGCAAGUCGAACGGUGAAGUGAGGAGCUUGCUCCUUGCGGAUCAGUGGCGAACGGGUGAGUAACACGUGAGCAACCUGCCCUUGGCUCUGGGAUAGCCUCCGGAAACGGGGAUUAAUACCGGACAUGACCUUGGUCUGCAUGGACUGAGGUGGAAAGUUUUUCGGCCAGGGAUGGGCUCGCGGCCUAUCAGCUUGUUGGGGGGGUAACGCCCACCAAGGCGACGACGGGUA
rnacentral:rRNA from 1 species